CUCUUUACUGUGGCCUGAGAAGUUGAAUGGGCUGAUUGGCCAGUGUGAGUAAGUGUACUGCUGCAAAUGAGAACGACUGAGGCUAAUUGUGAACCAUGUAUAACUUCCAGCUGACCAGGCAGUGCAGCACCAGCUACUUGCUGGGCAAGCCUGGUGUUCUGCCUGGAGGAAGGGGUGUAUGACUUUAAUUUGCACAAAGGUAUCCUGUGGACUAGCUGUGGCCUUGCAGCCAUGUAUGUGAAUCCCUUGGACAGUGAGUAGGGGAGGGUGAUCCUCUGGUUGCAAAUCAGGUGCUGUUCUAUGCUAAGGGAAAAUGGACACACCGGGCAAACAGAGCUAUCAGAUGUACCACAGAAAAAAUGCCAUCACGCUACUGCUGUUAGUGCAAUUCUGAGUGUUUUGUAGGUCCAGCUCUAUUCAAUUUAAAUCUACUCAGCUCAGCUCAAUCCAAUCCAACAAUUAUUGAUCACUUAUUACAGGCCCAAAACUCUGUGUAUGUGUUGGGUAGGUGGAUAAAGAGGCACUACCAAAAACAACAGCAACAACAACAAAAACAAAAGACAGAAGACAUCUGUUCCUUCAGUUCAGUUCCAACUCUUUGAGACCCCACGGACCGCAGCACGCCAGGCUUCCCUGUCCUUCACUGUCCCCCGGAGUUUGCUCAAACUCACGUUGAAUGCAUUUAGGGAGUAUCGGUGAGACCUACCUCCUUCUAAGCCAAAAACUACCUAGCACCCGAAAAAAUUUGUCCGGUUCCUCCUGGAUUAAAGAGAACAGGAUUUAAUAAGCAUCAAAGUCGAAGGCCUCAGGGUGCUUCACCUGCAAUUGGGAGUGAAGGGAGAAUGCUCUGCUCCCAGUCCACCUGCUGCUUUGCAGUGACUUCUUGGGCCAAGAAGCAUAGUGAAGGGUGACCCACUUGGGUUUCCAGAGCCAGAAGGAUGCUGUGGCUCGGGGCCUCACACGUGGUUCGGCUUCCACAGCUGUAAUUUAGAGGAUGUUCAACAUCAGCCUGUGGAAAAGUGCACAUGCUUGCAGUAUCUUAGAAAAAGUGGAAGGCACUGCCUACAGAGCCCUUGAGCUUGCUGACGUGUCACCACACGGAUUUUCUGAUCAUCCUGACAACAGAGAGGACUACAUUUUUAUCUCGUCUUGGAGUGCACUUGGAAACAUUGGAACCAACCCACCUUAGUCUAAAAUGAGGUCAACCACUAUCUACAUGGGCUUACUCUGGUGGCUCAGUGGUAAAAAACACACCUGCCAAUGCAGGAGACCUGGGUUCGAUCUCUGGUCCAGGAAGAUAUCCCAGAGAAGGAAAUGGCAACCCACUCCAGUAUUCUUGCCUGGGAGGUCCCGUGAUCAGAGGAGCCUGGCAGGCUACAGUCUGUGCUGUGCUGUGCUUAGUUGCUCAGUUGUGUCUGACACUUUUCGACCUCAUGGACUGUAGCUGCUAGGCUCCUCCAUCCAUGAGAUUCUCCAGGCAAGAAUACUGGAGUGGGUUGCCAUGCCCUUCUCCAGGGGAUCUUCCUGAUACAGAGAUCGAAAUGGGGUCUCCUGCAUUGCAGGUGGAUUCUUUACCAUCUGAGCUAUCAGCAAAACCCAGGAUACAGUCUGUGGGGUUGCAACACAGUCGGCGGUGACUUAGUGACUAAGCAACAACAGCAGCAAACUCUCCACAUAUCUGACCUCUUUCUGGUUCUGGCUUUGGUUUAAAAGGGGGCAGUCGGGGUCCUGCUGGACCUUUCUAUGUAUGGUAAUACGAAUCAAUUAAAGGAAAUUUUUUUUAUUGUAUUAGUUUUGCCAAAUAUCAAAAUGAUAUGAUGAUGAUAAAGGAAAAUAUUUUGAAUGGAUAGCUGGUAAAAAAAUCAGAUAAUUUUCCAUUUAAGCACAGAUUACACAGGAAGCAGAUUAUUGGCUUGAGGUUUUGAAGGUAGGAUGAAACCAACACAUUAGAAAAUAGAUUAUUGAAGUAUUUUAAUCUUGAGGUGCGUAUAAAUCUUGGGCAUCUUAAUACAUUUAUAUAAAGAGACAGAUGUCUGUUUGGUCUGUAAUUCUAAUGCAAACAUUUGACUAUGUGAAAUGCUUACAAGCCAGCUGUUUUUUACCUGCCAUAUGACUGCAGAGUCUUUGCCCUCCAGUUUUUCUGACAUGCUCUAAGAAUAUAGACAACAUACGUACAACACCUGGACCUGUGAAUUAAUUAAAUUACUAUCUCUGCCACCAUCAAGAGGCUUUCUAAGUGGCCAAGUGCAAGGAUCUUCUGUUUCUUAUCCAAGUAUCAAAACCCCAAGUCCAUGAA
ensembl:lncRNA